AGAGUCCCCCACACAUUGAAUCCUUUCCCUUCCUUGACGUUACUUACUAUCUUCCAGCCGAAACAAAAACUAUUACCCCUUUUUGGAUAAGUCCUUUUCCAUUUUCGUUCUUCAAUUUUCUUGUGAUCUCAAAAAUCUUUGAUGGGGAGAUUAUUUGUGUUGACUCUUGAAGGCAAGAUCUACAGCUGCAAGCACUGUGGAACUCAUCUUGCCCUUUCUGAAAACAUUGUUUCCAAGUCUUUCCACUGCAGACAUGGGAAGGCUUAUCUCUUCAGUAAAGUGGCGAAUGUCACUUCUGGCGAGAUAGAAAAUAGAAUGAUGAUGACUGGUAUGCACACUGUGGCAGACAUUUUCUGCGUCUGUUGUGGGUCAAUUGUUGGAUGGAAAUAUGAGACCGCCCAUGAGAAGAGCCAAAAGUACAAAGAAGGAAAAUCAGUGCUUGAGCGGUUUAAGAUUUGUGGCCCUGAUGGAAGCCAUUACUGGGCUAGUCAUGAUACUCAUGUUGCAGGAAGUGAUGCUGAAGGUGUUUGAUCACCAUCCAGAACAAAAAUUCCCAAAAUAGAACUCAGGUGGUAUUAAAGAGGAUUUCAUUAGCUAGAGAGUGUGAUUCGGUAACACCUGUCUUUCCACUGCAGACAUGGGAAGGCUUAUCUUCAGUAAAGUGUAAGUCUCUUUGAUUCUGCACAUUCAAUCAUCAGAUAUGUUUGUGACAUUUUCCUAUGUCCAAUCUUUAAACUUGCAGCAUGAAAAUCACAAGUGCAACUUACAACUUCUGUUGGUUUUAUUCUUGUUAGAGUAUGAAUUACCAUUUAUUUCCUCUGAUUGUUGUUAAGCUUUUCUUGGCAUCGAUGGGACAUGAGUUAUUUGUAGCUUGGUUAGAUGAACAAUGAUAUUACUACGGUCAAGCUUAUCCAUACCUCUGGUACAGAAAGAUGAAAAAAGCUACUAGAUAAAUCCUCUUAUUUGACUUCCACCCAUUCUUUUAUUGGUGUGGAGGACACUAUUAAACUAGAAAGUGCAAAAAGAUGAAGUAUUGAAGAAUUCAUGUUGGUAGUAGUUAGCCAAAAUUUUCAUGAUUUGAAAUGAAAAAAGAUUUGUUUUUCAAAAGUUGAGUGCAGCUGGAGUAUGUGCAAAUUAUUUGGCUUUUACUCUAUGUGGGUCAGAUAGCUCUCAGGAUCUUUGAUUUUGUUAUUAGCUCCGAGUCAUUAUUAUUAUGGAAGGUCAUAACUCAUAACCAACCUAGAAUGUUUGAGUGCACAUGAAAAGUUGUGAACAAGGUAGGAUAUACCUUGUAGGUUUAGUUUGUUAAUGACAUGGUACUGUAUAUGUGUAUCUUCAUACAUUUGUGUCAUUGAC